AGUGAACGCUGGCGGUAGGCCUAACACAUGCAAGUCGAACGGCAGCACAGUAAGAGCUUGCUCUUACGGGUGGCGAGUGGCGGACGGGUGAGGAAUACAUCGGAAUCUACUUUUUCGUGGGGGAUAACGUAGGGAAACUUACGCUAAUACCGCAUACGACCUACGGGUGAAAGCAGGGGAUCUUCGGACCUUGCGCGAUUGAAUGAGCCGAUGCCGGAUUAGCUAGUUGGCGGGGUAAAGGCCCACCAAGGCGACGAUCCGUAGCUGGUCUGAGAGGAUGAUCAGCCACACUGGAACUGAGACACGGUCCAGACUCCUACGGGAGGCAGCAGUGGGGAAUAUUGGACAAUGGGCGCAAGCCUGAUCCAGCCAUACCGCGUGGGUGAAGAAGGCCUUCGGGUUGUAAAGCCCUUUUGUUGAGAAAGAAAAGCAGCAGGUUAAUACCCCGCUGUUCUGACGGUACCCAAAGAAUAAGCACCGGCUAACUUCGUG
rnacentral:rRNA from 1 species